UACGUAGGGGGCAAGCGUUGUCCGGAUUUAUUGGGCGUAAAGAGCGUGUAGGCGGCCAGGUAGGUCCGCUGUGAAAACUCGAGGCUCAACCUCGAGAUGUCGGCGGAAACCAUCCGGCUAGAGUCCGGAAGAGGAGAGUGGAAUUCCUGGUGUAGCGGUGAAAUGCGCAGAUAUCAGGAAGAACACCCGUGGCGAAGGCGGCUCUCUGGGACGGUACUGACGCUGAGACGCGAAAGCGUGGGGAGCGAACAGG
rnacentral:rRNA from 1 species